AGCCCAGGUCCAAAACAGGGAUCCAUGCCUCAAUCCGACCUGCCAUCCUUCCGUGUUUCUCCACCCUUGCCGCGGGAGAGAUGUUGAAUUUGCCAGGCAACGCAGCAGCUUCCUCUCUUCAGCAACCAGAGCGUUGAUGGAGCCCCUGCGCUUUGGCGACGCUGCCAAAUUGAUUACCCCGAAGAGUGUUCACGUCUGAGCCGCCUCGACAUCGUCUUGCGUCCGUGGCAGCAUCCAGGACCUCGUCGUCAAAGCCUUCCAUCGCCCUCCACCCCCGGCCGCUCUAGUCCGACCCACCAACUCAGAGCAAUAAGCGAGUCCUUGCCUGAUAGCGACGCAGCCGGAGCAACGUCGCCAGAGCCUGUUGUUGUCGGGGUUUCGCCCAGCAGUUAGAUUCCUCUGCCUCCUUAGUUCGCCGACACUGAGACCUCCCUGGCCCUGCUCUGCUUCAUGAUCCUCUAUCUCAAAUCAUUACCGAUCUGGAUUGUAUUUGGACUUUCCUGUCUCCUUACUUGGUGGUUUAGUGCUCCAACUCCCUCGUAAAGUUCCUACUUCUGCUGUUUUUGCCACUGCAUGGGCUAGACGAUUUCCAUUGCUGGGAGUCCAAGUCAUUCCCUUUUUAGCUAUUGCACCUGUUCCAGUAUCCUUUCUGAAGGUUGCAUCAACAUUUGCUUUCAACCAGUUUUAAGGGGGAGGUCUCCAUUUCACCAGGUUUGAGUUCCACCAUUGCAGACUCAGCAUAUGUCCUUCAAUCCUCCAUGGUCCACCCUCAUACGCUCUUCUAGCUUCCUCCGGACUUUUGAAGUUCAAGAUAAAAGAGUUUGAUCCUGCAUUGGUGAUCACCAAACCCUGCGAAUCUCCCCACAUGUUGAGAAUCAUUUUGCGCACUGUGACCGUGUUCAGCACCUUUUCCGUCAACACUCGGCCAACUAGUUUCUGAUCUGUAUUAUCUCCAUGUUGAGCUAGAGAUUCUUCUAGUUCUAGAACAUCCCCUUCCAUGCCUGAAUUUUCUGUACCUUCCAUGACUUGCCUAGUUGAUUUGAUUUCCUUCUUUUAUUUUGUCUCUCUCAGUUAUUUGUGAUUGUCUUCAAAUUUGUAUCUGAACUAGACUUGAGAAGAAAUUAUGAUCAGAGCUCCACUUGUCGAAGCAGUAUAUCUCCAUUUUUAGAGAGCGUAAAGGCUCCACUCUUGGAGAAGUUACUACACUUGUUUAAUAACACUUCUUGCUGUUGAUGCUGUUCAUUUUCCAUUCCUAUUCCCGUGCUUUUUUUUUUGGUAAUACUAUUCCCGUGCUUAGUUAUGAUUAAUGACACUGCUAAGCAAAUUUUUGGUUUAUGGGCAAGUUAUCCCAGACUUAGUAAUGGGCCAUAGUGGAUGAU